UAGUGUCCAAGCAUUCCCAGUUUCCUUCCCUAGAGAUCAAACUCAGGGCCUUGUGCACUCGAGGCAAGUAAGUAUCCAUUCUGUCGUUGAGCUACAUCUCCAGCCCUAACUUCCCACCUUCACCACAGAAGAAACCUAGGAGCGGUGGGAGUAGGAGAAUCACAAACUGAGUGAUGUAGAAAGCAGAUGGGAAAGAGGAUGGAUGAUGAACCAAAGACCUGUGACCAGAGAAAUGCUCAGACAGACAUAGCAAGGCCUGCCCUGUGGUCACUAGAAGCAGACACACACCAGGAAGGUUAAGAAGGCUUGACCUGACGAAAGAACAGAAACUCAUUGACUAUAUACACAAUGUAAGAAUGAACGCAAAUCAUCACUGACAAGGAACCAGAACCUUACCCUCACCUAACAACUGUGCCACCCUCCAAGCAGAGCCAUUGUUCAUUGAAACAGUUGAUGAACGACUUCAUGGAUAGACCAUCGUAAUGCACACACCAUUUCUUAUAUGAAUGUAACCUGUUCCUGCGGGCUGAGAAUGAAGACAAUCACUCAAGUCAAAUAGCUUUGACCAAAGAAGGAAAUCUGUAUCCAAAAAUUGUGCCUACAAUUCAUUCCUUGGCACUGCAGAACUGUCAAGUCUUAGCUUAUCUACUGUGGAGGUAAAAUCCUCCAUAGUAGAGAAUGUGAGGGACAUUCAAGUACAGCCUUAUUACAAUGAACUCCAAUGUCCAAAAAUUGUUCUUAUUUUGGGUUUGUACCACCAAAAGAGCCAAGAUUUUAAGCUCUACUAAAAACAAAACAAAACAAACAAACAAACAAAAUGACUUUAUCUAUUCAUGUUCAUUAAAAAAACUAAUAGUGAUAUAUUAUUUUAAAAUAUAUAGUUAAUAUAGUUGGAGUUACUUAAAAUUUAUAUUGAGAAAAACAUGUAUUUUCAGUAUUGCUGUAGACAAAUGUCUACAUAAGACUGUUCAAUUGAUUAUUAUUUUAUAUCAAACAACUUUUAUAAUGCUCAAUUUUUAUUAUUAGAAUAGCUUAUAAAUUUUAAAUAAUAUGAAAAACAACCCAAAAGAUAUGGCAGGUAUUGAAGGGGGUGGUCUCUGGGAGGAGUUGGGAUACAAAAGGGAAAGAAGAAUGUGAUGUAAGUCUAUUUACUCAAAAUAUGUUUUUAAAUGUUAACAAAUUCAGAUAAAUUGAAAUUAUGUAUGUCUUCUCAUAAUAAUGCAAUAAAAUUUAAAUAAAAAAGAAUGAAUGCCUAUUUGCA
rnacentral:lncRNA from 1 species